UUUCUCUAUGACGAGACGAAGGAGCCAAAAACCUCCCUGCCGGCUACUCAGGCGCCCCCUAUUGGGCUGCACCUCGAACGCUAGAGCGAGAUCGCUCCAGCCAAUCAGAGAAGAAAAAGGCCCACACAACAUAUUGGAUCUCUUGGAAGAAUCUUCCUUCUGCAACUCAAAAUGUGGAUUUAAAAUGUCUUAGAGAUUUGCAUCUUUGACAACAGGAACUGAUACAGUCCGGAAACAUCAUUACUAUACAUAGUCAGAAAAAGAGACAGAAAUCAGAGACAGGAAGCAGAAAUGGGCAUGCAUCUGAGACUCAUACUAGGCUAAAAGCUUGCCCUAGAAUAUACUGCCUGGACAGGCUGUGCAUGUAUGCAUAUAUGCACAAAGGUGAGAGUUCAAGCAAAAGAAUGCUUGUGUGCGCACACAAGUUAAA